GUGUGAUGUCUAAAAUGCCAUGCGGCACUGCAGGUGUUAACUGUAGUAAAGCCUAUUGUGUUGGUUGGCUUGAAAAGGCCAUGUGACAGCGAAGAACCUGCCUGUGCUGUCUGCCAGCUGGAUUCAUAGAAAUCUGCAAGAAGAAUGCAGAAGAGAGCCAGCUGGGAACCUUAGGAAGAGCUCACUGACAGGAAAAGGUCCUUGUCUGGACAUCGAAAGUCACCGUGGUCACAAAAUUGGCUCUGUUGUGAGGCUGCCAGCUCGGAAAUGGACCCAAAGGCAUCAUCUCCGCAUAAACAAGGCGUCAAAGGUCGUUCAAAAUCCACAGAAGAGAUACAGCAGGCUAAAAAGGCUUUUCAUACACCUCAGAAGUCUCUGCCGAGUACCAGAGAGGAGAGCAAUGUGCAGGAUUCUGCUGCUACAGACGAAAAUUCUCCAAAGGCGAGAACAAGUGAAGGUCAAACACAGAUCUGAUAUGAAGGAGCGUGUGUCAGGAAAUCAGCAAUGAGGCUUUCCAGCCUGUUAUCGCUCAGUCUGUUUGAUCAUUGCUGUAACCUAGUGUGUGUGUGCCUCUUGUAGACAUGGGUGUAUGUAAUGUAUGUGUCUGCUAAGUGUACCUAUCACAUUAUUUCUGUUCUUCAAUUACCAAAAGGCUUCUACAAAGUGUUCUAAUUAGAUGUCUUGAUAUUUGCUACUAACUUGAAAAAUAAAAUAUGUCCACAUCAAUUAAUGUCUAUUUGGGAUCCUUUAAACUGUAAUCAGUGUUAAUUUCAUAAGUGUUGUUAUUUAACGUUGGUAUUCUAUUUUAUAUUGAACAUGUUAAUUGUUGAACUACAAUAAAGAAUCCUGAGAAUUUAUUUUA